rnacentral:rRNA from 1 species
GCAGUCGAACGGUAGCACAGAGGAGCUUGCUCUUCGGGUGACGAGUGGCGGACGGGUGAGUAAUGUCUGGGGAUCUGCCCGAUAGAGGGGGAUAACCACUGGAAACGGUGGCUAAUACCGCAUAACGUCGCAAGACCAAAGAGGGGGACCUUCGGGCCUCUCACUAUCGGAUGAACCCAGAUGGGAUUAGCUAGUAGGUGGGGUAACGGCUCACCUAGGCGACGAUCCCUAGCUGGUCUGAGAGGAUGACCAGCCACACUGGAACUGAGACACGGUCCAGACUCCUACGGGAGGCAGCAGUGGGGAAUAUUGCACAAUGGGCGCAAGCCUGAUGCAGCCAUGCCGCGUGUAUGAAGAAGGCCUUCGGGUUGUAAAGUACUUUCAGCGGGGAGGAAGGGGGUGAGGUUAAUAACCUCGCUCAUUGACGUUACCCGCAGAAGAAGCACCGGCUAACUCCGUGCCAGCAGCCGCGGUAAUACGGAGGGUGCAAGCGUUAAUCGGAAUUACUGGGCGUAAAGCGCACGCAGGCGGUCUGCUAAGUCAGAUGUGAAAUCCCCGGGCUUAACCUGGGAACUGCAUUUGAAACUGGCAGGCUAGAGUCUUGUAGAGGGGGGUAGAAUUCCAGGUGUAGCGGUGAAAUGCGUAGAGAUCUGGAGGAAUACCGGUGGCGA